rnacentral:rRNA from 1 species
AUUGAACGCUGGCGGCAUGCCUUACACAUGCAAGUCGAACGGUAACGGGCCUUCGGGUGCCGACGAGUGGCGAACGGGUGAGUAAUGUAUCGGAACGUACCUUUCAGUGGGGGAUAACGUAGCGAAAGUUACGCUAAUACCGCAUAUUCUGUGAGCAGGAAAGCAGGGGAUCGCAAGACCUUGCGCUGAUUGAGCGGCCGAUAUCAGAUUAGCUAGUUGGUGAGGUAAAGGCUCACCAAGGCGACGAUCUGUAGCGGGUCUGAGAGGAUGAUCCGCCACACUGGAACUGAGGCACGGUCCAGACUCCUACGGGAGGCAGCAGUGGGGAAUUUUGGACCAUGGGGGCAACCCUGAUCCAGCCAUGCCGCGUGAGUGAAGAAGGCCUUCGGGUUGUAAAGCUCUUUCGGCCGGGAAGAAACCGUAUGGGUUAAUACCCUGUGCGGAUGACGGUACCGGCAUAAGAAGCACCGGCUAACUACGUGCCAGCCGCCGCCGUAAUAC